rnacentral:tRNA from 1 species
CAGGGAGACAACAAAAUGUAAAUAUUAAUUUUGUCACCUUAGGUCGAUCGGUAUCUCAGAUUUUUAAAUAUUUAAAAAUUUCAGUUUCUAAGUUUUUCUAGGUCACACCCAUUACUUUUUCCUGGGCCAUUAGCUCAGGUGGUUAGAGCGCACCCCUGAUAAGGGUGAGGUCCCUGGUUCAAGUCCAGGAUGGCCCAUCUCUCUAUGUUGGGGGUAUAGCUCAGUUGGUAGAGCGCCUGCUUUGCAAGCAGGAUGUCAGCGGUUCGAGUCCGCUUACCUCCACUGAAUACCACCUCUUAACAUGUUUGUAACGAGGAAAAUAGUUUUGAGUCAUUUCCUUUCUUCAUCUGAGCGAAUCUAGCUUCCUAUUUUUAAUUAAAAUAAGAUGCUGGACUCAUUGAAUUUAAUUCAUUGUUUUCAGAGAACCUUGACAACUGCAUAGAUUAUUUUUUUAAAGACAAUAAGCAUCUUUAAUGAUGCAGAUUUAUUAUUUGUGCUUAUGCAUUAAAUAACAAUUCUAUUAAGCUGAUGCUUCAAUUAUUGAAGUUAUU